GCGGUUUGGGGAUGACUAAGCAUGCGAGUCAUUGUAGUAAUACAAGGCAGACGGCUCAGUAACGCGUAGUCAAUCUACCCUAUGGACGAGGAUAACCUCGGGAAACUGAGAAUAAUGCCCGAUAGAACAUUAUACCUGGAACGGUUUAUGUUUCAAAUGAUUUAUCGCCGUAGGAUGGGACUGCGGCCUAUCAGUUUGUUGGUGAGGUAAUGGCCCACCAAGACUAUUACAGGUACGGGCUCUGAGAGGAGUAGCCCGGAGAUGGGUACUGAGACACGGACCCAGGCCCUAUGGGGCGCAGCAGGCGAGAAAACUUUGCAAUGUGCGAAAGCACGACAAGGUUAAUCCGAGUGGUUUCUGCUAAAGAAACCUUUUGCUAGUCCUAGAAACACUAGUGAAUAAGGGGUGGGCAAGUUCUGGUGUCAGCCGCCGCGGUAAAACCAGCACCUCAAGUGGUCAGGAUGAUUAUUGGGCCUAAAGCAUCCGUAGCUCGUUUUGUAAGUUUUCGGUUAAAUCCAUACGCUCAACGUAUGGGCUGCCGGGAAUACUGCAUAACUAGGAAGUGGGAGAGGUAGACGGUACUCGGUAGGAAGGGGUAAAAUCCUUUGAUCUAUUGAUGACCACCUGUGGCGAAGGCGGUCUACCAGAACACGUUCGACGGUGAGGGAUGAAAGCUGGGGGAGCAAACCGGAUUAGAUACCCGGGUAGUCCCAGCUGUAAACUAUGCAAACUCAGUGAUGCAUUGGCUUGUGGCCAAUGCAGUGCUGCAGGGAAGCCGUUAAGUUUGCCGCCUGGGAAGUACGUACGCAAGUAUGAAACUUAAAGGAAUUGGCGGGGGAGCACCACAAGGGGUGAAGCCUGCGGUUCAAUUGGAGUCAACGCCGGGAAUC
rnacentral:rRNA from 1 species